rnacentral:rRNA from 1 species
CCUACGGGUGGCAGCAGUGGGGAAUAUUGGACAAUGGGGGGAACCCUGAUCCAGCCAUGCCGCGUGUGUGAAGAAGGCCCUCGGGUUGUAAAGCACUUUCAGUGAGGAAGAACGCCUGGUGGUUAAUACCCAUCAGGAAAGACAUCACUCACAGAAGAAGCACCGGCUAACUCCGUGCCAGCAGCCGCGGUAAUACGGAGGGUGCGAGCGUUAAUCGGAAUUACUGGGCGUAAAGCGCGCGUAGGUGGCUUGAUAAGCCGGUUGUGAAAGCCCCGGGCUCAACCUGGGAACGGCAUCCGGAACUGUCAAGCUAGAGAGCAGGAGAGGAAGGUAGAAUUCCCGGUGUAGCGGUGAAAUGCGUAGAGAUCGGGAGGAAUACCAGUGGCGAAGGCGGCCUUCUGGACUGACACUGACACUGAGGUGCGAAAGCGUGGGUAGCAAACAGGAUUAGAUACCCCGGUAGUC